rnacentral:rRNA from 1 species
UACGGAGGGUGCAAGCGUUAUCCGGAUUCACUGGGUUUAAAGGGUGCGUAGGAGGGCAGGUAAGUCAGUGGUGAAAUCCCCGAGCUUAACUUGGGAACUGCCGUUGAUACUAUCUGUCUUGAAUACCGUGGAGGUGAGCGGAAUAUGUCAUGUAGCGGUGAAAUGCUUAGAUAUGACAUAGAACACCAAUUGCGAAGGCAGCUCGCUACACGAAUAUUGACACUGAUGCACGAAAGCGUGGGGAUCAAACAGG